UUGUAACAAAAAUAAUAUAUUGGAGUUAAAUAAAUAUGAAAGAAUUAUUUCUCAGGGUUUUUGAAGUACACUUACAUUUGGGUGUUACCUAUAAUCUAGUAUCCUUGGGUGUAAUGCUAUUCUUUCUCAUUGAAUUGUGUGGUGAGGAUUAGAUGUUAGGGGAGGGAAAAAAAGGGGGGAGGGGGGGAUCAGUGCCUGCGUGGGCUGUGAAAACUAAUUACAAUGUGAAAAUUUGCUGUGUCUGUCUGUCGGUGUCCUGUUCUCUCCAGGUGCUAGCUCCUGCCGUAAUUCAACGUCAUGACCUGGUUCGUGCUCAGCGAGCCGGGGGCCGGCAAAACCGCUGCAGCCUCUGCCGGCGGGGUGCGCCAGAUGGUGUCGCGGACGUGUUGCAGUGUCAUCUCCGGAGGAAGGCGCUGCCCUCGACAGGUAAUCUCUAACUG
rnacentral:lncRNA from 1 species